AAGGUGGAAGUCAGUGCUCCAGAUGUAAGCAUUGAAGGAU
rnacentral:piRNA from 1 species